rnacentral:lncRNA from 1 species
UCCCGAGGAGGCGGCGGGGACCGCAGGCAAAUGAGAAAGCAAAUCUCUUGAAAUAUAAGCAGUGGUACUUUCCUGGAGGGAGGAGAUGGGAAUUCUCCUGUUGCUCUGAGUGUUGCCAGGUGCAAGAAGUGGUCCACAGUGGUGGUGGAGGCUGAGAAGAAGGAACAACACUGUCAGAAGGUGCUGGCUACCUUGGGAACAGGACCCACCUCUGGACAGUUAUUCUGAGUGACGGCCCUUGCA